rnacentral:rRNA from 1 species
UACGUAGGGCGCGAGCGUUAAUCGGAAUUACUGGGCGUAAAGCGUGCGCAGGCGGUUUUGUAAGCCAGAUGUGAAAUCCCCGGGCUCAACCUGGGAAUGGCAUUUGGGACUGCAAGGCUGGAGUGCGGCAGAGGAGACUGGAAUUCCUGGUGUAGCAGUGAAAUGCGUAGAUAUCAGGAGGAAUACCGAUGGCGAAGGCAGGUCUCUGGGCUGACACUGACGCUCAUGCACGAAAGCGUGGGAGCGAAACA